GCUCUAAAGGAUAACAGCUAUAACUUC
rnacentral:tRNA from 1 species